AACGUAGGUGGCGAGCGUUAUCCGGAAUUACUGGGCGUAAAGGGCUCGUAGGUGGCCAACUAAGUCAGACGUGAAAUCCCUGGGCUCAACCCAGGAACUGCGUCCGAUACUGGUUGGCUUGAAUCCGGGAGAGGGAUGCGGAAUUCCAGGUGUAGCGGUGAAAUGCGUAGAGAUGUGGAGGAACACCGAUGGCGAAGGCAGCCUUCUGGGCCAAUACUGACGCUCAUGCACGAAAGCGUGGGGAGCAAACAGG
rnacentral:rRNA from 1 species